rnacentral:rRNA from 1 species
UACAGAGGUCUCAAGCGUUGUUUGGAAUCACUGGGCGUAAAGGGUGCGUAGGCGGCAUGGUAAGUCAGAGGUGAAAUCCCGGAGCUCAACUUCGGAAUUGCCUCCGAUACUGCCAUGCUUGAGGACUGGAGAGGAGAUUGGAAUUCACAGUGGAGCAGUGAAAUGCGUAGAUAUUGUGAGGAACACUAGUGGCGAAGGCGAAUCUCUGGACAGUUCCUGACGCUGAGGCACGAAGGCCAGGGGAGCAAACGGG